rnacentral:rRNA from 1 species
GACGAACGCUGGCGGCGUGCUUAACACAUGCAAGUCGAACGGAAAGGCCCUGCUUUUGUGGGGUGCUCGAGUGGCGAACGGGUGAGUAACACGUGUGUAACCUGCCCUUGACUUUGGGAUAACUUCAGGAAACUGGGGCUAAUACCGGAGAGGAGCUCCUGCUGCAUGGUGGGGGGUGGAGAGUUUCGGCGGUUGGGGAUGGACUCGCGGCUUAUCAGCUUGUUGGUGGGGUAGUGGCUUACCAAGGCUUUGACGGGUAGCCGGCCUGAGAGGGUGACCGGCCACAUUGGGACUGAGAUACGGCCCAGACUCCUACGGGAGGCAGCAGUGGGGAAUAUUGCACAAUGGGCGGAAGCCUGAUGCAGCAACGCCGCGUGCGGGAUGACGGCCUUCGGGUUGUAAACCGCUUUCGCCUGUGACGAAGCGUGAGUGACGGUAAUGGGUAAAGAAGCACCGGCUAACUACGUG